GUGGGGAAUUUUGGACAAUGGGCGCAAGCCUGAUCCAGCAAUGCCGCGUGCAGGAAGAAGGCCUUCGGGUUGUAAACUGCUUUUGUACGGAACGAAACGGUCCGGGUUAAUACCCUGGGCUAAUGACGGUACCGUAAGAAUAAGCACCGGCUAACUACGUGCCAGCAGCCGCGGUAAUACGUAGGGUGCAAGCGUUAAUCGGAAUUACUGGGCGUAAAGCGUGCGCAGGCGGUUUUGUAAGACAGGCGUGAAAUCCCCGGGCUCAACCUGGGAAUUGCGCUUGUGACUGCAGGGCUGGAGUGCGGCAGAGGGGGAUGGAAUUCCGCGUGUAGCAGUGAAAUGCGUAGAUAUGCGGAGGAACACCGGUGGCGAAGGCAAUCCCCUGGGCCUGCACUGACGCUCAUGCACGAAAGCGUGGGGAGCAAACAGGAUUAGAUACCCCGGUAGUCC
rnacentral:rRNA from 1 species